rfam:Felis catus isolate Cinnamon breed Abyssinian chromosome B2, whole genome shotgun sequence.
CCAAAGGCUCUUUUUAGAGCCAUCCACGCUCUCUAAGAAAGAGCUU